GACGAAGGUGGCGAGCGUUGUUCGGAAUCACUGGGCAUAAAGCGCACGUAGGCGGUGCCGUAAGUCAGACGUGAAAUCCCCCGGCUUAACCUGGGAACUGCGUCUGAUACUGGAGGGCUCGAGUGCGGGAGAGGGAUGUGGAAUUCCAGGUGUAGCGGUGAAAUGCGUAGAUAUCUGGAGGAACACCGGUGGCGAAGGCGGCAUCCUGGACCGACACUGACGCUGAGGCGCGAAAGCUAGGGUAGCAAACGGG
rnacentral:rRNA from 1 species